rfam:Ovis aries breed Texel chromosome 8, whole genome shotgun sequence.
UCCCUGGUGCCUAAGAUGGUAAAGGAUCUGCCUGUAAUACAGGACAUCCAGGUUUGAUCCCUGGGUUGGGAA